AGGAUAGGUGCCUUCCAAGCACUUGACCCGGGUUCGAAUCCCGGUUGAUGCA
rnacentral:tRNA from 1 species